UACGUAGGGUGCAAGCGUUAAUCGGAAUUACUGGGCGUAAAGCGCGUGUAGGCUGCGGAGUAAGUCGGAUGUGAAAUCCCUUGGCUUAACCAAGGAAGUGCAUCCGAUACUGUUUCGCUUGAGUGUCGGAGGGGAUGGCGGAAUUCCCGGUGUAGAGGUGAAAUUCGUAGAUAUCGGGAGGAACACCUGUGGCGAAGGCGGCUCUCUGGGACGGUACUGACGCUGAGACGCGAAAGCGUGGGGAGCGAACAGG
rnacentral:rRNA from 1 species